AUGGUAGAUGAACCUUUACCCGAGCAGCCAAAAUAUAGCUUCGGUUCUGCCAUGCUAUCUCAUACAUACAGAGGCUUGUGUGAUGCCACGCAAAAAACCUCUUUCGCACAAAAAGCUCCAUUACUUUGUGUCGCCUAUGAGUUUCUACAGUUGUGGUCCUGGGAAUACCUCCCUGUAGGACGACCUCGUAUAGUACAACCCAUAUACCCAUAUGACUUUGGCGAGGGUGCUAGCGCAACUAUGGCCACCAGGUGGACAAAGGCACGGAAAUGUUGGUCUCCAGAUAUUGCGAAAAAUUGUUACCCUAUGUACCACCAGCAGUUUGAGAUACUUGAUGAGGCAGAAGUCACAUGGAACCCGUGGACUCAGGACCAGCUAAAAAUGGUCUUUGAUGCUCGACACUUCACACCAGGCAUGUUGACCGAUAGUGCAUUCUGA
rnacentral:rRNA from 1 species